AUUUAUAUAGUUUAAUAAAAACAUUACAUUUUCAUUGUAAAAUUAAAAUAAUUUUUUUUUUAUAAAUU
rnacentral:tRNA from 1 species